rnacentral:rRNA from 1 species
AUACUGUGGGUGGCGAGUGGCGGACGGGUGAGUAAUGCAUCGSGAUCUACCCUGACGUGSGGGAUAACCUCCGGAAACCGGGACUAAUACCGCAUACGUCCUACGGGAGAAAGCGGGGGACCUUCSGGCCUCSCGCGGCAGGACGAACCGAUGUGCGAUUAGCUAGUUGGCGGGGUAAUGGCCCACCAAGGCSACSAUCGCUAGCUGGUCUGAGAGGAUGAUCAGCCACMCUGGGACUGAGACACGGCCCAGACUCCUACGGGAGGCAGCAGUGGGGAAUAUUGGACAAUGGGCGCMAGCCUGAUCCAGCAAUGCCGCGUGUGUGAAGAAGGCCUUCCGGGUUGUAAAGCACUUUUAACAGGAGCGAAAUACCMCGGGUUAAUAC